AGCGAACGCUGGCGGCAGGCCUAACACAUGCAAGUCGAGCGGCCGUAGCAAUACGGCAGCGGCAGACGGGAUAGUAACACGUGGGAACGCGCCCUUCGGUUCGGAAUAACUCAGGGAAACUUGAGCUAAUACCGGAUACGCCCUUACGGGAAAGAUUAUUGCCGAAGGAACGGCCCGCGUCCGAUUAGCUAGUUGGUGAGGUAAUGGCUCACCAAGGCGACGAUCGGUAGCUGGUCNGAGAGGAUGACAGCCACAUUGGGACUGAGACACGGCCCAAACUCCUACGGGAGGCAGCAGUGGGGAAUAUUGGACAAUGGGCGCAAGCCUGAUCCAGCCAUGCCGCGUGAGUGAUGAAGGCCCUAGGGUUGUAAAGCUCUUUUACCCGGGAAGAUAAUGACUGUACCGGGAGAAUAAGCCCCGGCUAACUUCGUGCCAGCAGCCGCAGUAAG
rnacentral:rRNA from 1 species